UAGCCGUAAACGAUACUCGCUAGGUGUCGGCCACGGUGCGACCGUUGUCGGUGCCGUAGGGAGGCCGUGAAGCGAGCCACCUGGGAAGUACGGCCGCAAGGCUGAAACUUAAAGGAAUUGGCGGGGGGAGCACAACAACGGGUGGAGCUUGCGGUUUAAUUGGAUUCAACGCCGGAAAUCUUACCGGGACCGACAGCAACAUGAAGGCCAAGCUGAAGACUUUGCCGGAUUAGCUGAGAGGAGGUGCAUAGCGUAGUCGUGU
rnacentral:rRNA from 1 species